rnacentral:rRNA from 1 species
GUGCCAGCAGCCGCGGUAAUACGAAGGGGGCUAGCGUUGUUCGGAAUUACUGGGCGUAAAGGGCGCGUAGGCGGUCUUGUAAGUCAGGCGUGAAAGGCCCGGGCUCAACCUGGGGACUGCGCUUGAUACUGCGAGGCUUGAAUCCGGGAGAGGAUGGCGGAAUUCCCAGUGUAGAGGUGAAAUUCGUAGAUAUUGGGAAGAACACCGGUGGCGAAGGCGGCCAUCUGGACCGGUAUUGACGCUGAGGCGCGAAAGCGUGGGGAGCAAACAGGAUUAGAAACCCUUGUAGUCC